UACGUAGGGGGCGAGCGUUACCCGGAAUCACUGGGCGUAAAGGGAGCGUAGGUGGCCUAACAUGUCAACUGUGAAAACCCGGAGCUCAACUCCGGACUUGCAGUUGAAACUGGUAGGCUUGAGGACGGUAGAGGAAGACGGAACUGCCAGUGUAGGGGUAAAAUCCUUAGAUAUUGGCAGGAACGCCGGUGACGAAGGUGGUUUUCUGGGCCGGUUCUGACACUGAUGCUCGAAAGCCAGGGGAGCGAACGGGAUUAGAAACCCCAGUAGUCC
rnacentral:rRNA from 1 species